UACGAAGGGGGCUAGCGUUGUUCGGAAUCACUGGGCGUAAAGCGCUCGUAGGCGGAUCUUUAAGUCAGGGGUGAAAUCCCGAGGCUCAACCUCGGAACUGCCUUUGAUACUGGGGAUCUCGAGUCCGGGAGAGGUGAGUGGAACUGCGAGUGUAGAGGUGAAAUUCGUAGAUAUUCGCAAGAACACCAGUGGCGAAGGCGGCUCACUGGCCCGGUACUGACGCUGAGGAGCGAAAGCGUGGGGAG
rnacentral:rRNA from 1 species